CCUACGGGUGGCAGCAGUGGGGGAUAUUGCACAAUGGGGGAAACCCUGAUGCAGCGACGCCGCGUGUAGGAAGACGGUCCUCUGGAUUGUAAACUACUGUCCCCAGGGACGACGAUGACGGUACCUGGGGAGGAGGCUCCGGCUAACUACGUGCCAGCAGCCGCGGUAAUCCGAAGGGGGCGAGCGUUGUUCGGAAUUACGGGGUGUAAAGGGAGCGUAGGCGGGGAUGCAAGGUGGGUGUUAAAUCUACCGGCUCAACUUGUAGUCGCACUCAAAACUGAAGAUCUUGAGUGAAGGAGAGGCAGGCGGAAUUCCUAGUGUAGCGGUGAAAUGCGUAGAGAUUAGGAGGAACACCAGUGGCGAAGGCGGCCUGCUGGGCUUUUACUGACGCUGAGGCUCGAAAGUGUGGGGAGCAAACAGGAUUAGAUACCCUUGUAGUC
rnacentral:rRNA from 1 species